GACGAACGCUGGCGGCGUGCCUAAUACAUGCAAGUCGAACGCACUUUCGUUAGAUUGAAGAAGCUUGCUUCUGAUUGAUAACAUUUGAGUGAGUGGCGGACGGGUGAGUAACACGUGGGUAACCUGCCCUAAAGUGGGGGAUAACAUUUGGAAACAGAUGCUAAUACCGCAUAAAACCUAGCACCGCAUGGUGCAAGGUUGAAAGAUGGUUUCGGCUAUCACUUUAGGAUGGACCCGCGGUGCAUUAGUUAGUUGGUGAGGUAAAGGCUCACCAAGACCGUGAUGCAUAGCCGACCUGAGAGGGUAAUCGGCCACACUGGGACUGAGACACGGCCCAGACUCCUACGGGAGGCAGCAGUAGGGAAUCUUCCACAAUGGACGAAAGUCUGAUGGAGCAACGCCGCGUGAGUGAAGAAGGUUUUCGGAUCGUAAAACUCUGUUGUUGGAGAAGAACGUAUUUGAUAGUAACUGAUCAGGUAGUGACGGUAUCCAACCAGAAAGCCACGGCUAAC
rnacentral:rRNA from 1 species